AUCCACUGUGCAGAAAACAUUUGGACUUUUUUUUUAAUCAAAAAGAUAAUCAUUAAUUAAGUAACCAGGUACAUAAAGAAUUUGUAUUAAACACAAGCUCUGUAUUAUACUUUCUUGUUAAUAUACUUAUAUAUUGCACUUACAAUUAUAAAAAUGAAUUCAACAAAUAAUGUGGAUGUUAUAACAAUUGCAAUAUUGUUUUAUAAAUAAAAUUGAUUUAAAAAAACAACAACAAAAACAUAUACACAUAGGACUUUGUCUACAUCAAUUUUAUACAAAUAACAGCAUACGGGCAGCAGUGGCCCUCAGAAUCAUUCACUAAAACAAGAAAUUAGGAGAAUUGACAAUUACAAAUUUUAGGCCAAAAUAGUUCAACGAAGUGUAAACAUACCCCAAUGUAUCUAUUUGUAGGUUAAAGUUUUGUUGUUAAUAUUCCACAAUUCCUGGGAAUAGGUUUCUGGUGACCUGUUAGGAAUUGUAGCCUUUCCCUUGUAUGUCUCUCUGCACCCCUCAAUCCCCUAGUGUUAAUGUUUUUAUAUUAUUGGCUCACACAUUUCACCAUUAAAGAUGAACUGGCACGUUUUCAGAAUUUCUUCUUUAUAUUGUUUAUGAAAUACUGAUCAAAGUUUAAUUAGAAUUUCCAUGAAAUACUACUUUGUCUUAUAGACAAGUCUUUGGUUGACAAAGGUGGAGCUUCCCCUUUCAACCUUGUUUCAAUCCCAGGAGUAAUCACAAGUGAUCACUGUAGGAUUGAGGGAUUGUCUAUGGAGGCUUCCGUGGUAUGGCGGAAGCCUCCAUACUGAUUCGGCUCCAAGCAACGAAAGCACUAGGAGCUGAAAAGGACCUACAGAACGAAAAUUGGGUGGCUGUGAGGAACUGUUUGAGGUAAGUAAAACUUCCUUUGCACAGUGUGGCCACCAGACCCACUGGAACUGUCACUUUAGGGGGUCUUUGCAAAAUAUGUAAAUUCCCCAUGAAAGUGACAGAUUUACUUUUAAAAAGGUUAAAAAUCAAUCAAACUCACCUUUAUCUCAGCUGCAUGAGAGUCUGCUCUCUGCAGCUUUGAUCUUCCUUCCGUGUAGACAAUACUGAUCACUUGUGUCCAAUCAAAUGCUUAUGAGAGAAGCAUUAGAACAUGGUGAAGGCACAGCAGGCUCUGUACUUGAAACCAAAUCUAUAUGAGAAGCAUUCCCUUCUUCUCUGAACUAUAGUUCAACGUGAGGGAGACAGGAAACAGUCCUGGCUGUUUGCUUGUGAUUCGGGAGGUGUUUUAUAAAAGUGAGAGAAAAGUUUUAAUAUACACAUGCAAAAGAGAAAUAAGUUUGAAUGUGGAUAUUCACUGGAUAAAUAAUAAACAUUGUUUAAAUAUUCACAUGUCCAAAAAUGAAGUACAAAGAAAGUUUUAUUUAUUAAAUCUAAAGUUCUUAGCUUUUCUCUGACUUGAAGAUUCUGUCUCAAGGGUGCCCCUUACUUAAUAGGCUUAUUGGUGGUGGCCAAAAAGUGGGGGGAUCCUAAAGAAAGUCUUUGUGUUAGUCGAUAGUCCAGAGUACUGUACUAUCUGAAGACAUUUAGGGAGAUUGGUUACAAGUAAUUACUACUGUGAGUAGUCACUCCAAUGUGUGGAGUCGGUAAAGACAGGAGAUUUUUUUAGAACUGUUAUAUGUAUCCUGUUUUGUCUAAAUUCAAACACUGAUGUUAGUAACUGCAACUUAUGAGUAAACGUUUGAAUAUUCUACACUUUAAUAUAUGUAGGCAUUUAAGAAUACAAUACUGCAGGAGAUCUCUAGCGCUAAAAUGAUGUGUAUUUCGUCCUGCCUUAUUUCAAACAUUAAGGCUAGUAAUUGCAAUUUAUGAGUAAGAAUUUUAAUAUUCUACACUUUACUAUAUAGUGACACUUAAGAAUCUAAUAUUGCAGAAGAUUUCUAGCACUAAAAUCAUGUGUACUUUGUCCUGCCCUUUUCAAACAUUGAGGUUAGUAACUGCAACUUAUGAGUUAAUGCUUGAAUAAAUUGGUUUAAAAGGUGACUUUUUACCGAUUCCACACAUUGGAGUGACUACUCACAGUAGUAAUUACUUGUAACCAAUCUCCCUAAGUUUC